rnacentral:rRNA from 1 species
ACUCCUACGGGAGGCAGCAGUGGGGAAUAUUGCACAAUGGGCGCAAGCCUGAUGCAGCAACGCCGUGUGAGUGAAGAAGGUUUUCGGAUCGUAAAACUCUGUCCUAAGGGAAGAAACAAAUGACGGUACCUUAGGAGGAAGCCCCGGCUAACUACGUGCCAGCAGCCGCGGUAAUACGUAGGGGGCAAGCGUUAUCCGGAAUCACUGGGCGUAAAGGGUGCGUAGGCGGCUUAGCAAGCCAGGGGUGAAAGGCAUUGGCUCAACCAAUGUAAGCCUUUGGAACUGUUAAGCUUGAGUGCAGGAGAGGUAAGUGGAAUUCCUAGUGUAGAGGUGAAAUUCGUAGAUAUUAGGAGGAACACCAGUGGCGAAGGCGACUUACUGGACUGUAACUGACGCUGAUGCACGAAAGCGUGGGUAGCGAACAGGAUUAGAUACCCUGGUAGCACA